UGUCAAAUCAUCAUGCCCUUUAUGACCUGGGCUACACACGUACUACAAUGGCGUCUAACAACGGGAAGCGAAGCGGCGACGCGGAGCAAAUCCCCAAAAGGCGUCUCAGUUCGGAUCGCAGGCUGAAACCCGCCUGCGUGAAGUCGGAAUUGCUAGUAAUCGCGAAUCAGCAUGUCGCGGUGAAUACGUUCCCGGGCCUU
rnacentral:rRNA from 1 species